GAUGAACGCUAGCGGCAGGCUUAAUACAUGCAAGUCGAGGGGCCGCAUAGUGUAGCAAUACAUGGGUGGCGACCGGCAAACGGGUGCGGAACACGUACAGAACCUUCCUUCGAGCGGGGACUAGCCCAGAGAAAUUUGGAUUAAUACCCCAUAGUAUAUUGGAGUGGCAUCACUUUGAUAUUAAAGAUUUAUCACUUGAAGAUGGCUGUGCGUCUGAUUAGGUAGUUGGUGAGGUAAUGGCUCACCAAGACAGCGAUCAGGAACUGGUGUGAGAGCACGACCAGUGACACGGGACAUGAGACACGGGCCCGUCGCCUACGGGAGGCAGCAUUAAGGAAUAGUGGUCGAUGGACGCAAGUCUGAACCGGCCAUGCCGCGUGGAGGAUGAAGGUCCUCUGGAUUGUAAACUUCUUUUAUCUGGGACGAAAAAGGGCCUUGCUAGGUCAACUGACGGUACCAGAUGAAUAAGCACCGGCUAACUCCGUGCCAGCCGCCGCAGUAAGAC
rnacentral:rRNA from 1 species